rnacentral:tRNA from 1 species
GCGCCUGUAGCUCAGUCGGAUAGAGCAACAGCCUUCUAAGCUGUGGGCCGGGGGUUCGAUUCCCUCCAGGCGCGCCA